AAAUGAAUUGACGGGGACCCGCACAAGCGGUGGAUGAUGUGGAUUAAUUCGAUGCAACGCGAAAAACCUUACCUACCCUUGACAUGUCCGGAACCCUUUGGAAACUUAGGGGUGCUCGCAAGAGAACCGGAACACAGGUGCUGCAUGGCUGUCGUCAGCUCGUGUCGUGAGAUGUUGGGUUAAGUCCCGCAACGAGCGCAACCCUUGUCAUUAGUUGCUACGCAAGAGCACUCUAAUGAGACUGCCGGUGACAAACCGGAGGAAGGUGGGGAUGACGUCAAGUCCUCAUGGCCCUUAUGGGUAGGGCUUCACACGUCAUACAAUGGUCGGGACAGAGGGUUGCCAACCCGCGAGGGGGAGCCAAUCCCAGAAACCCGAUCGUAGUCCGGAUUGGAGUCUGCAACUCGACUCCAUGAAGUAGGAAUCGCUAGUAAUCGCGGAUCAGAAUGCCGCGGUGAAUACGUUCCCGGGUCUUGUACACACCGCCCGU
rnacentral:rRNA from 1 species